rnacentral:rRNA from 1 species
UACGUAGGGUGCAAGCGUUGUCCGGAAUUAUUGGGCGUAAAGAGCUCAUAGGCGGUUUGUCGCGUCUGCUGUGAAAACCCGAGGCUCAACCUCGGGCCUGCAGUGGGUACGGGCAGACUAGAGUGCGGUAGGGGAGAUUGGAAUUCCUGGUGUAGCGGUGGAAUGCGCAGAUAUCAGGAGGAACACCGAUGGCGAAGGCAGCUCGCUGGGACGGUACUGACGCUGAGGCGCGAAGGCCAGGGGAGCAAACGGG